rnacentral:rRNA from 1 species
CCUACGGGAGGCUGCAGUGAGGAAUAUUGGUCAAUGGGCGCGAGCCUGAACCAGCCAAGUAGCGUGAAGGAUGACUGCCCUACGGGUUGUAAACUUCUUUUAUAAAGGAAUAAAGUGAGGCACGUGUGCCUUUUUGUAUGUACUUUAUGAAUAAGGAUCGGCUAACUACGUGCCAGCAGCCGCGGUAAUACGGAGGAUCCGAGCGUUAUCCGGAUUGAUUGGGGUUAAAGGGAGCGUAGAGGGGUUGUUAAGUCAGUGGUGAAAGUUUGCGGCUCAACCGGAAAAUUGCAAUUGAUACUGGCAGUCUUGAGUACAGUUGAGGUAGGCGGAAUUCGUUGUGUAGCGG